CCAUCCAACUUAGGACCGAGUUCAGUUCCGAGAAACUGGUCCCAAGUCAAAAUGGUCGUAAGUCAAACUUUACUAAUGAAUAUCAACAAAACAUUUUUGUAAUGACUAUUUUAUUGUUUUAUUUUGGUAUUUCAUGUUUUACUUUACUUUUUAUGCUGUUAGUACUGUAUUUUAUACUGUAAGGUUUAGCAUAAACACUGUGUACAACACAAAUACUUGUUUAUUUCCCAAAAAUUUGGCAUAAAAACACGGCCGUAAGUCGAGUGGUCGUAAGUCGAGUGGUCAUAAGUCGAGUGGUCAUAAGUCGAGUGGUCAUAAGUCGAGUGGUCAUAAGUCGAGCAGGUCGUAAGUCGGAUGGUAGGUGUAUAUAUAAAUAUAUUUAUAUAUAUAUUUAUAUAUAACAUAUAUAUAUAUAUAUAUAUAUAUAUAUAUAUAUAUAUAUAUAUAUAUAUACACACAUACAUACAUACGUAUAUAGGAUAGAAUGAAAGGAGCACUCACAAAGAGAAGAGCAAACUUACAAGUGAGUGAUUCGAUGGCAUGUUAUAUUCACACAACAACACUCCAUAAUAAUUAGGCUCCUAAAUAUCAAGUGCCCUUCACCAGUUCAUAUCUAACAGCACUGCUGUAAGAGGGCAAUACUUAACAUAUAAUGAACAAAAACCUAAAACUUGACUAAAGUAUGAACAACAUUCCUCAGUGACUAUAUUGCAAGUUUUAAUAUCAAUGCCUUAUAACACAUUUUAGAAGAAAUAUGCACUUUCAACAGAGAAACAGUAAGACUAUUGUAUAAAACCUUAAUUUUAGUUAAGCCUAUGAAAGACAAUUGAGGUUUAACAUAUUAAUUUAAGAAUUACAUGAAAAAAUGUAAUAAUCCAUUGUUCAAUCAACAUCCUUUUGUUUAUUCAACAUACAAAUCUAGUCAAAAUUUUAUCGAGUUCAGAUUCAAGCUAACCCUAAAGAAAGCUACAAGUUUGACAAUCCACAAACCUGAGAAGCUUUGUAAUAAAUUGUUGUUAUUAGCACUGUCAAAACCACAUUAGGCUUUUUAAUGAUUAUCACAAUCUUUCUAACCAUAAACUAACAGGCAUUUUAACGACAAAGGCAAAUCUGUCCUAAGGAAACAAACAUUUUACAUAUCCAGAAACAAUAUCACAGAUGGGGAGAAAAAAAGAUGGCAACAUAUUUAGUCAUGGACAGCAUACAAGCUCUAUGUCUUUUUAUAUAUUAAAACCCGAUAACGUAAGUGAUUUAAACUCUAGACAAACUAACAUUGAGCAAAAGAAUCGUGAUUUCAAGCAUGGCAACCCCUCGCUACAUAGUGGAAUUUUGUUUAAAUGUGAUUGAAAAAGUUUUUUUUUCUUUAUCAAGAGCACAAAAAGACUUGAUAAUAUGCUUAUUAAGUGUGGGAGAUAUCAAGCUGUGUGUAAAAUCUUUAGAUUUUGCAACAUAAAACUUCCCCCAUACAAUAAAAGUUGAACUAUGGGUCGAGUGUUCAGAGAGUGACUGUCACCCAUGCUGCCUAGAAUUACUUUCUGGAGGGUCUAGUGCCUUACUAUGCGUUUAUCAAAUGAUUUAAAAAAAAAUCUCCCCCACCUCGUCUCAUUUCUGGUACCCAAGAGGAAUAUUACUGAUGUUGAAGGUGCAAAUAAGAAAAGCAAGCAGACUGCUCACACUUAGGGGUCAAAGAAUUCACUAUCCAUACAAUUAGAAACAAUGACAUAUUAAAUGUCUGUGCAAAGAGCAGGGCAGACUGUGACCUGGUGAAAAUGUCAAACAGGUCAAUGCUGCAGGGUAAGAAACCUGACACAUUACAAGAUGCUUACGGCACUACAGAACACUUAUCAACCACUGUACUAUAUAUUUACUUUAAACAAUAACCACAGCCAUCCACCUCAAG